rnacentral:rRNA from 1 species
GAUGAACGCUAGCUAUAGGCUUAACACAUGCAAGUCGGGGGGAAACGGCAUUAUGUGCUUGCACAUUUUGGACGUCGACCGGCGCACGGGUGAGUAUCGCGUAUCCAACCUUCCCUCCACUCGGGGAUACCCCGUUGAAAGACGGCCUAAUACCCGAUGUUGUCCACAUAUGGCAUCUGACGUGGACCAAAGAUUCAUCGGUGGAGGAUGGGGAUGCGUCUGAUUAGCUUGUUGGUGCUGGUAACGGCCCACCAAGGCUACGAUCAGUAGGGGUUCUGAGAGGAAGGUCCCCCACAUUGGAACUGAGACACGGUCCAAACUCCUACGGGAGGCAGCAGUGAGGAAUAUUGGUCAAUGGACGGAAGUCUGAACCAGCCAAGUAGCGGCGGAUUGACGGCCCUAUGGGUUGUAAACUGCUUUUGUUGGGGAGUAAAGUGAGGCACGCGUGCCUUUUUGCAUUUACCCUUCGAAUAAGGACCGGCUAAUUCCGUGCCAGCAGCCGCGGUAAUACGGAAGGUCCAGGCGUUAUCCGGAUUUAUUGGGUUUAAAGGGAGUGUAGGCGGUCUGUUAAGCGUGUUGUGAAAUUUAGGUGCUCAACAUCUACCUUGCAGCGCGAACUGGCGGACUUGAGUGCACGCAACGUAUGCGGAAUUCAUGGUGUAGCGGUGAAAUGCUUAGAUAUCAUGACGAACUCCGAUUGCGAAGGCAGCGUACGGGAGUGUUACUGACGCUUAAGCUCGAAGGUGCGGGUAUCGAACAGGAUUAGAUACCCUGGUAGUCCGCACGGUAAACGAUGGAUGCCCGCUGUUAGCGCCUGGCGUUAGCGGCUAAGCGAAAGCAUUAAGCAUCCCACCUGGGGAGUACGCCGGCAACGGCGAAACUCAAAGGAAUUGACGGGGGCCCGCACAAGCGGAGGAACAUGUGGUUUAAUUCGAUGAUACGCGAGGAACCUUACCCGGGCUUGAAUUGCAGACGCAGGAUACAGAGA